rnacentral:misc_RNA from 1 species
UUUUACUAACCAAUUCAUUGCAAUGUUUUAACAUUACUAUAUAUUACUAAUUCUUCUGACUAGUUUUACCACUUUUUGUACAAACAUUGACUAUAUAUUCUGGAGAAGAUGCUUGAUUCGGUCAGUCUUCCUGAAAUCAAGUAACCGCAAACGCACAAUGCUUUUCCAUCACAACGUACUCGGGACGGUACUGUUCCUUACUUCGAUACAAAGUUAUGGCUCUGCAUCUAUGAAUACGGUUCCAUCUAUCCAUGGUUCGGACAAAACCAGGGAAUGGAUCAAAAGGAUUGUUGGCUCGUUACGACAACCGUGGAUCGAAGGUUUCAAAUCUGUUCUCCAUACCACUGAAUCUUCCUGUGCGACCGAAGUCGCGGUGUUGAUACAAGCGAUGGAAUCUGGCCAAGAAUGGGCUUUUCAAAUGCUGGAUGCUUCGUCGGGUUUUCAAACCGGACUUAUGAAAGGAAACUUUAGAGACGUCGGAUUGUACGACGAAUGCGUCGAAGUCAAUGGGCAAUUCAACCACGUCAAUAUCCGGGGUAAGCACUGCAUGGUUUCUCUGGGUUCGGCGUCUCCUACGUCACCUGAGGUUAUUGGUGUCGAUUAUCUCCGCAUUUCAUCAUCGAUUUGUGUUCCAUCGUCGUGCAACGAGACUCACGUUGAGCAGAUCUUCAAUGCUACCGUCGCGAACAUACCAACUAUCAGCCACCUAGGAUUAGAAGCAAGUAACGCGUUCUGCGCGGACGUGGGAUCCGAUGACUUGAGUGCUGGAGAAAUUUACACGCUAAUUUUUUUUCUGGCCGUUGUCGUAUUUAUGAUUGCUUGUACGAUCUGCGACUUUGCAAGACGACACAAGCAGACAGAAGCAUCUACUGUAAUGAAUACGUUGGCCAAAUUUUCCCUCUACACCAAUGCACUCGCUGUUUUAAGCACGAAAGUAGAAUCUGACACGUUUCAAUCAAUCGAAGGUAUCAGAGUUUUGAGUAUGUGCUGGGUCAUACUGGGUCAUCGUUUCAUCAGUUUAUUCAUCAGGCCAGUUGUCAAUGUGUUUGAAGUUGCUGAAUGGCUGAAUUCAUGGACAUCUUUGUACAUUCAGGCCGCGCCAUUUGCUGUCGAAACCUUUUUUCUAGUGAGCGGAUUUUUCACGGCUCACCUGCUUCUUAAAGCUUUGAAAUCGGGGAGACAAAUCAAUUGGCCAAUGUUAUACCUUCAUCGUUACCUCCGACUCACGCCAUCUUUCGUCGUCGUUAUGUUGUUCGUUUCAUUUUUUAUAAAUCGCUUUGGAAACGGCCCCCUAUGGAAAAUUUGGAUUGGUGACCACGUAGAAAUUUGCAAAAAAAAUUGGUGGUUUAAUAUAUUAUACAUUCAGAACUUUUUGAAUCCAGAUGUUACGUGCUUACCCCACACCUGGUACUUGGCUGUUAAUAUGCAGCUUUUUUGGCUAUCGCCAAUUGUCAUAUAUCCACUUUACCGCUGGCCAAAACAUGGAAUCCGAAUACUAGGUUUCGUCCUCCUCGCCUCGAUUUUUAUACCACCCGUUGUUCUAGGUAUCAAUGGUUACACUAACAGAAUAUUUACCAUGCACGUAGACUUGGGAAUCAUAGUCUUCGGGGACUUGGUCAACUUCUACAUAGCAACGUACAAUCGAGCCAGCGCUUACUUCCUCGGAAUGUUCUUGGGUUACGACGUAGCGACCAAGAAGAGGCAACUUACAAAGGUGAACGUAUGGAUCAACUGGAUUGCAACCUCCGUUCUUCUCCUAUUUUGUAUGUGUGCAACUCAUUUCAAUUACAACAAUGCUUUUGCGUACAACCGUGUAUUGGAAGUUGUAGUCGCACUUACGUUACGUUCGUGUUGGUCGAUUGCCAUUGCUUGGAUCAUUUAUGCAUGUACUCACGGAUAUGGAGCUUUCUGUCCAUGCCGUUCUUUCGGCCACUCAGUCGGUUGUCAUUUUCCACUUACUUGGUGCAUAUGUUGAUCCAAUGUAUGAGGAGUGCGGCCGCACGGACUCCUGUGGUGUUUUCGAAUUCUUUGAUAAUUCACGAGUAUUUGAUUGAUUUGGUGCUUUCGAUCGUCGCGGCUUUUGUUUUCACCUCAUUUUUUGAGUCUCCAUUGGUUGUGUUGGAGAAAAUUUUCGUCAGUUCCAAAUCAGAGGCUAAUCAAGU